rnacentral:tRNA from 1 species
GCCCACGUAGCUCAGUGGAUAGAGCACUCGCCUCCUAAGCGAGGGGUCAGAGGUUCAAAUCCUCCCGUGGGCGCCA